UUGCCUGUUUAUCAAAAACAUGUCUGUUUGUAGAUAUAAAAAGUCUAGCCUGCCCACUGAUAAAUAUUUAAGGGCCGCGGUAUUUCUGACUGUGCAAAGGUAGCAUAAUCGUUAGUUUCUUAAUUGGAAUCUUGUAUGAAUGGUUUGACAAAAAAAAAUCUGUCUUUAUAAUUACUUAUUGAAUUUAACUUUUAAGUGAAAAGGCUUAAAUAAAUUAAAAAGACGAUAAGACCCUAUAAAGCUUAAUAUUAUUUUUUUAUUUAAUAGAAUUUUAUAUAUAUAAAUAUUUAGUAAUUAAUUUAUAUUUUAUUGGGGUGAUAAUAAUAAAAUGAUUAUUAACUGUUAAUUGUUUUAAACAAAUAUAAAUGAAUAAUAAAAUUUUAAAUAUAAAUGAUCCUGUAUUAGAGAUUAAAAGUUUAAGUUACUUUAGGGAUAACAGCGUUAUUUUUUUUGAGAGUUCUUAUCGAGAAAAAAGUUUGCGACCUCGAUGUUGAAUUAAAAUAUCUAUAUAAUUGUAGUAGUUAUAUAAGAAGGUCUGUUCGACCUUUAAAUUUUUACAUGAUUUGAGUUCAAACCGGUGUAAGCCAGGUUG
rnacentral:rRNA from 1 species